ensembl:lncRNA
CUUGCCACCAUGGCCUCUAGAUUUCUGUAAACUUGCUUUGUGAUGAUGUCUAUCAUUAAAAACACUAAAAGAAAAACCCUGAAAAUUUUAUUGAAUAUGUAAUGCUCCUUCACAACUCCAGGGUCUGCAGUUCGAUCCUGAGCUUGGGUUAAUGUCUGAUUGGAGCAUCACAUUUUCUGUGUGGGUUUCCUCUGGAUUCUCCAGUUUCCUUCUAUGAUCCAAAAACAUGCCCAUAGGUGGAUUAGCAACAUUAAAUUUCCUGUAGGGAAUAACGUGUUACUGAAGAUGAAUGAAUGAAUGAGUUGAAUAGUCUGACUGAAAAUUUAAUCUUUACAUUUAGGAAUGUUGUUUUGGCUUCACAUCUCAUAUUGUAACAGUUUCUCUCUGCAGUUAUUUCAGACACCAGAAUUCCCCUUUGUCUGAUGUUCCAUAAUCUCCUACAGCACCCCAAAGGAGACUGACUGAUUGCAAACAUAGGAUUUCACCCUCAUUUUUUUCUCCCAUGUGGAAAAUAAAUUGCUGAGGCAUUUGAAAGUAUUAGAAACAGUAAAUUUUCAGUACCAUUACAGCCCGACAGUAAUAGUAUAUUGUGUGUAAACAAUACUGACAGGAAGAGGGAAAAUGAAUGACUGAAAUAAACAGGUCUUACUCAGCCGAGCCAAAAGAAAUUAACUGCUUAAUGUAAAAUAAUGUUUCUACUUUUGAGUCAUUGCAAAAUAUGUCAUUUCUUGUACUGCAUUCAUUUUGUUUAAAAUAUGUUUUUUUUGUUGUUGUCGUUGCUUUGCUUUCUGUUAAGUUGAUCCUUGUAUGUCCUGUAUGCUUCGUCACAGACAGUCUUUCAAUCUGAAGAAUGAUAGAGCAGGGGCCAACAAAACUUCCAACAGGUUUAAGAAUAUAUGUAAUAUCUAAUGCGAAACAUAAGAUGAUAUUAAAGAAGUCCAGAGCUAUAUUCUCUCCAGAAUUCCUCACCAUACCCUUGCUUGUAAUCUUAAGAAAUGGUAUGCAAGUUGUAAGAUGUGACUUUUCCACUGAUAAGAUUUUUCAAUUUCUCCUUCAAGAAUGCAAACGAAUAUUACUGCUGGUCCAUUGAACGAAGAAGGGUUUCAAUAAAGGAAUAAUUAUCCUGCUCAUCUGUCUUCACAAUUCCAUUAUGGAAAAUGUGUCUGCGUCUCAGAUGAAGGUCAAACAUCCACUCCUGAGGUGUCCUUGUCAUGUCAUCCAGUGCACUAAGAGUCUCAACAGUAGCAUUCUUAUUUACCCCUUAAUUACUGCUAAACUGCUGUUGGAAAUGGAGAUCGAAUGAAAGGAUGUCAUCAAGAAAAAAAAAUAUGUGCGAAAUAGCUGACACAAAAGCACCAUUGCUUUAAAAACCAUUGACAACCAUUCUAGUGAGGCAUAAUUUGUAUCACCCAAAGCAGCUAGCUGAAGCACUUCUGCAUCAACCUGACUGAAUGCCUUUUUGAA